rnacentral:rRNA from 1 species
UAAUACAGAGGGUGCAAGCGUUAAUCGGAAUUACUGGGCGUAAAGCGAGCGUAGGUGGCUUGAUAAGUCAGAUGUGAAAUCCCCGGGCUUAACCUGGGAACUGCAUCUGAAACUGUUAGGCUAGAGUAGGUGAGAGGGAAGUAGAAUUUCAGGUGUAGCGGUGAAAUGCGUAGAGAUCUGAAGGAAUACCGAUGGCGAAGGCAGCUUCCUGGCAUCAUACUGACACUGAGGCUCGAAAGCGUGGGUAGCAAACAGGAUUAGAUACCCUGGUAGUCCACGCCGUAAACGAUGUCUACUAGUCGUUGGGUCCCUUGAGGACUUAGUGACGCAGCUAACGCAAUAAGUAGACCGCCUGGGGAGUACGGCCGCAAGGUUAAAACUCAAAUGAAUUGACGGGGGCCCGCACAAGCGGUGGAGCAUGUGGUUUAAUUCGAUGCAACGCGAAGAACCUUACCUGGUCUUGACAUAUCUAGAAUCCUGCAGAGAUGCGGGAGUGCCUUCGGGAAUUAGAAUACAGGUGCUGCAUGGCUGUCGUCAGCUCGUGUCGUGAGAUGUUGGGUUAAGUCCCGCAACGAGCGCAACCCUUGUCCUUAGUUACCAGCGGGUUAAGCCGGGAACUCUAAGGAUACUGCCAGUGACAAACUGGAGGAAGGCGGGGACGACGUCAAGUCAUCAUGGCCCUUACGACCAGGGCUACACACGUGCUACAAUGGUAGGUACAGAGGGCAGCUACACAGCGAUGUGAUGCGAAUCUCAAAAAGCCUAUCGUAGUCCAGAUUGGAGUCUGCAACUCGACUCCAUGAAGUAGGAAUCGCUAGUAAUCGCGGAUCAGAAUGCCGCGGUGAAUACGUUCCCGGGCCUUGUACACACCGCCCGUCACACCAUGGGAGUUGAUUGCACCAGAAGUG